rnacentral:rRNA from 1 species
GAUGAACGCUGGCGGCGUGCCUAAUACAUGCAAGUCGAGCGAACAGACGAGGAGCUUGCUCCUCUGACGUUAGCGGCGGACGGGUGAGUAACACGUGGAUAACCUACCUAUAAGACUGGGAUAACUUCGGGAAACCGGAGCUAAUACCGGAUAAUAUAUUGAACCGCAUGGUUCAAUAGUGAAAGACGGUUUUGCUGUCACUUAUAGAUGGAUCCGCGCCGCAUUAGCUAGUUGGUAAGGUAACGGCUUACCAAGGCAACGAUGCGUAGCCGACCUGAGAGGGUGAUUGGCCACACUGGAACUGAGCAAGGGUCCAGGCGCCUACGGGAGGCAGCAGUAGGGAAUCUUCCGCAAUGGGCGAAAGCCUGACGGAGCAGCGCCGCGUGAGUGAUGAUGGUCUUGGGAUCGUAAAACUCUGUUAUUAGGGAAGAACAAAUGUGUAAGUAACUAUGCACGUCUUGACGGUACCUAAUCAGAAAGCCACGGCUAACUACGUG